rnacentral:rRNA from 1 species
GACGAACGCUGGCGGCGUGCUUAACACAUGCAAGUCGAACGGAAAGGCCCUGCUUUUGUGGGGUGCUCGAGUGGCGAACGGGUGAGUAACACGUGAGUAACCUGCCCUUGACUUUGGGAUAACUUCAGGAAACUGGGGCUAAUACCGGAUAGGAGCUCCUGCUGCAUGGUGGGGGUUGGAAAGUUUCGGCGGUUGGGGAUGGACUCGCGGCUUAUCAGCUUGUUGGUGGGGUAGUGGCUUACCAAGGCUUUGACGGGUAGCCGGCCUGAGAGGGUGACCGGCCACAUUGGGACUGAGAGACGGCCCAGACUCCUACGGGAGGCAGCAGUGGGGAAUAUUGCACAAUGGGCGGAAGCCUAAUGCAGCAACGCCGCGUGCGGGAUGACGGCCUUCGGGUUGUAAACCGCUUUCGCCUGUGACGAAGCGUGAGUGACGGUAAUGGGUAAAGAAGCACCGGCUAACUACGUG